rnacentral:lncRNA from 1 species
CACAUGUGAACCAUAGUUACAGAAUACAUAAUAGUACAAGUCACGGCUACUACUUAUAGUCCAGGAUCCGGGAACAUAAUUUACAAUGAGGUUGGUCUGUGAAAGAUGGUCGGUAUCAUAGAUUUGUCGGUACGGAUUAUGGUCGUUACACGCAGUUGGCGCCUUUGUAGCUGGUUCCGUUGUAUACGGCAGUAUAUGUUGUCUGUGGUACUUUAUGGCGGGAACCAUAAACAAGUAAAGUCCUUUUUAUGAAAGAAGUCCCCCAGACGCGGCGCUCAUUGUCAUAAAUUGGUAUUGGCCUAAGAAAAAGAAUUAUAUAGAAUUGACAUGGAAGAUUAAUACCGUGAACGAAUGAGAUGUAGCUAUACGAAAUUCUGAAAGAGUGACAGAGCCCGAGAAAAGUUUUUGUCCUUAUCAGAAUCUCGCUUUAAUUUGUCUGCCCCGUGAGGCCACGGGGCAGACGAACUUUGUGGAGUAAACUUCAUGUGGACUAAAAUUUGUUUUUUAAAGUAUAAAUUGUGUUCUUUGUUCUUAAUUAAGUGUAAUAAUUAUUUCUUUAGAUAUUAAAAAUGGUGAAUUGUAGUGUUUUGGGCUGCAAAAGCCGCACUGAACGAAAAUGUGAAAACAUAACCUUUCAUACUUUUCCACGAGAUGUCUUUAUUAAUAAAAUAUGGACAAAGGCGACAGGAAGAGACAGGAAGACAAAGGUGGCCUUCAUUAUCCGUCACCGUUAGUUAUUAAAUUAUGUGAAAUAGCGGAGGAAAUAUUUAAAAAAAUAAACUACUAAUAAGCAAAACAAACUUGAUGGAGCAUCUACUGCAAGCAUGUUGUACGAAAUGUUGUACGAAAUGACCUUAAUUUAUUAUAUUUUAUUAAUUAAAGCCAUUUGUAGAAAAUACUUUAAUGUGAGGUUACAUUAUUGUACUAAAUCCUUAACUUGUGAAGAAAAUGUAAGAAAUUUUUACACGAAAUUAAUUUUAUUCAAAGGACAGUAAAUUUUUUUUGGUAAAAAGAUUUUAUUCUUAAUUCUAUGCUGUGCUAGUAUAUUUUCCUAACUAAUGUUUUAUGAUGUACACAAUCAACAAAUCACAAAAUACACCAAGCAAUCAAUAAAUCAAUCAAUCAAAAGCGUAUUA